UACGGGGGGGGCAAGCGUUGUUCGGAAUUACUGGGCGUAAAGGGCUCGUAGGCGGCCAACUAAGUCUGAUGUGAAAGCCCCGGGCUCAACCUGGGAAUGGCAUUGGAAACUGGCUGGCUAGAGUGUGGCAGAGGGGGGUGGAAUUCCGCGUGUAGCAGUGAAAUGCGUAGAGAUGCGGAGGAACACCGAUGGCGAAGGCAGCCCCCUGGGCUGACACUGACGCUCAGGCACGAAAGCGUGGGGAGCAAACAGG
rnacentral:rRNA from 1 species